rnacentral:rRNA from 1 species
AUGGCGGCCGCCCGAGAAAGACGGCUGCCGCAGCUGCACCUCACGCUCGACGCCCCAACGUGGGCCUUCCGGUGCCCGGCCCCGGCGCCGGUCACCGCGGCGACGCCGUCCACCUCGGCGGCUCGGCCGGACGGCGAGUUCCGCCUGAGCGACUUUGACAUGCUCAAAGUCCUUGGGCGCGGGAACGGCGGGACCGUCCAUAAGGCCUCGCACCGCCGCACGUCGGCGCUGUACGCGCUCAAGAUUAUUCACCGCGGCCAUCCCGGCGCCGACGAGGAGGUGGAUGUUGUGCGCCGCGUCGACUCGCCGCACAUCGUCCGGUGUCACUCGGUGCUCCCGACGCCGUCCGGCGACUCUGCCUUGCUCCUCGAGCUGAUGGACGGCGGUUCGCUCGACUCGCUCGUCCGCGGCGGCCAGGGAGGCUUCCCGGAGGCGGCGCUGGCCGAGGUGGCGGCCCAGGCGCUGGCCGGCCUGGCGUACCUCCGCGCGCGCCGCGUGGUCCACCGGGACAUGAAGCCGGCGAACCUCCUGGUCAACAGGGCCGGUCAGGUCAAAAUCGGCGACUUCGGGAUCGCCGAGGUCGUCUCCCGCGCCGGCAAGUACCGCGCGGCCUACGAGGGCACCGCCGCGUACAUGAGCCCCGAGAGAUUCGACACGGAGCGGCUGCACGAGGGCGAGGAGGACCGCGUCGACCCCUACGCCGCCGACGUGUGGGGGCUGGGCGUGACCGUCCUGGAGCUCCUCAUGGGGCGCUACCCGCUGCUCCCCGCCGGGCAGGAGCUGACCUGGGCGGCGCUCAUGUGCGCCAUCUGCUUCGGUGAGCUCCCAGCACUUCCCGACGGCUCGGCGUCGCCGGAACUCCGGAGCUUCGUGUCCGCGUGCCUGCAGAAAGACCACCGGAAGCGUGCAUCAGUUGCGGAGCUCGUCGCGCACCCGUUCGUCGCCGGGAGGGACGUGGCAGCGGCGAGACAUGCGCUCCGGGAAGUGAUCGCCCAGCGCGUUUAG